GUGAUCUUAUGUGGAAUCACGAAGAGAACGAGACCCCCUUCCCGCCCAGACCAGGCUGCGUAUGCAUCACUGCAGAGCUUUGGCUAAAGCUUUUUAUCAGCCCCUCGCCCCCACCCACCCACCACCCACCCUCCAAGGCGCGAACUGGUUGGCCUGAGCGAGGACGCGCACGUCUUUUUACGCACCUGAUGUGGAGCAUGCAUGCCUGCAGCCAUGUGCGCAAAGCUGGCUAGUGUGUGAAAAGGGGCGGGAGGGGGCUUCACUCACCGGGAAAGUCCAUGGUGGUGUCUGCAUUGCUCUCACCAUCCGUGCGCCUUGGCCCGUUAAUUGGAAACGCGGCUCUUUUUGAGGAUCCACGCCACUUAUCCGGUCCGGUGGGUGGCAGGGUGCAACGCGGUUCUCCUUGCUUCUCCGCUGUGAGAAUGAACAGAAAAUGGUAACGACGGAUAGGUAAUGUCCCCUUCAAGAUUGAGGUAAAAAGUAAACCUGAUUCUGGAUGAGCUGUGAUGGUUUCACUUGACUCUGCUGUUCUCCUCAAGGGAGUAAAGAGAGCAUGUCGUAGCUUGUGGGUCCCUCUAUGGGCCGCCAGAUGAAAAGCACAGGACUGCCAUUGGGGAACUGAAAGCUGGUGGCCCAAACUAAAUGUGGACGCUUGGAAGAUUGGCUGGAUUUGCUUUGUUUUGGUGUUGCUUGCAUAGAUAAACGAAUAAACGGUAUUCAUAUGUAAAUCAAUUAUUUCUUUCGGAAAAUUUGAGUGAAAUUGGAUCAUUUGAAUGCAAGAUGAUUCACGGUAAUGCCGGAGGUAUGUUAGGUUGUUUAAACCUGCCACAAUGCAAUGAGAGACGUGAAGCUGAUGGUGGAGGUCAUCCUUAGCCAUGUUGGGUUUAAUGGCCAUCCGUGUUCACAGUCACACAUAAUUAUGACUGGGUUUCAUCUAAUCCCAGAGACACAUUAUAGUCUCUUUAUCUUCCUCAAGGAUUGGGAAGUGCUCGCAAUAAUGCAAUUCAAAGUAAUACUACGAUGAUGGAAACGUGUAAGCAAAUACCGCACAUCCAUUCAUCCAUUUUCUACCGCUUAUUCCCUUUUGGGGUCGCGGGGGGCGCUGGCGCCUAUAUCAGCUACAAUCGGGCGGAAGGCGGGGUACACCCUGGACAAGUCGCCACCUCAUCGCAGGGCCAACACAGAUAGACAGACAACAUUCACACUCACAUUCACACAUUAGGGCCAAUUUAGUGUUGCCAAUCAACCUAUCCCCAGGUGCAUGUCUUUGGAAGUGGUACCGCACGUAUAUUUGAAAUUAAAUUUUGCUGCAGUGGUGUUCCAAGUUCACACACAAUACACAUUAAGUAAGUAUGGAGUACAGAAAUUGUCAAACAUUUACUCAGCCCAUGGCUUUGGCAAUAGUACCAAGGAGAAGCCAGAGCUUGAAAAUCUUUUUCCAGAACAAGAUCAAGAUCGAAAUGAAGUUUCUUUGGGACUACAGGUGUCGACAUGGGUUGUAUUCGUCUCAAGGAGAAGAUGCUCAGAUUCAUUAUCUUCCUGAGUUUCUACAGGGUUCUUCUAUGCAGCAUGCCAAUUGAUAUACUGUGGGUGGUUAAAUGUGGAAACUGUUCUAUAUUUAAACUACAAAAGAACUCGGAGAGCGCAGACUUAUAAGUGUGGAAGUCGGUAAU